AACGAACGCUGGCGGCAGGCUUAGCACAUGCAAAUCGAACGCCCGUAGCAAUACGGGAGUGGCGGACGGGUGAGUAACGCGUGGGAACGUACCCUGAGGUACGGAAUAACCGAGGGAAACUUCGGCUAAUACCGUAUGAGCCCCGCAAGGGGAAGGAUUAUCGCCUUGGGAGCGGCCCGCGUCGGAUUAGCUAGUUGGUGGGGUAACGGCCUACCAAGGCUUCGAUCCGUAGCUGGUCUGAGAGGACGAUCAGCCACACUGGGACUGAGACACGGCCCAGACUCCUACGGGAGGCAGCAGUGGGGAAUCUUGCGCAAUGGGGGCAACCCUGACGCAGCCAUGCCGCGUGAACGAUGAAGGCCUUAGGGUUGUAAAGUUCUUUUACCCGUGACGAUGAUGACGGUAACGGGGGAAUAAGCUCCGGCUAACUUCGUG
rnacentral:rRNA from 1 species